GCUGGCGGCGUGCUUAACACAUGCAAGUCAUGGGGGUCCGCAAGGACAACCGGCGAACGGGUGCGUAACACGUGAGCGACUUGCCUGAGUGCGGGGGAUAGCCGGCCCAACGGCCGGGUAAUACCGCAUACGCUUUUUCGAGGGCAUCCUUGGGAAAGGAAACCUCCGGGGCACUCAGAGGGGCUCGCGGCCUAUCAGCUAGUUGGCGGGGUAAUGGCCCACCAAGGCGACGACGGGUAGCUGGUCUGAGAGGAUGGCCAGCCACAUUGGGACUGAGAGACGGCCCAGACUCCUACGGGAGGCAGCAGUGGGGAAUCUUGCGCAAUGGCCGAAAGGCUGACGCAGCGACGCCGCGUGUGGGAGGAAGCUCUUCGGGGUGUAAACCACUGUUGCCCGGGACGAACGAUGAGUUUUUACUCAUGUGACGGUACCGGGUGAGGAAGCACCGGCUAACUCUGUGCCA
rnacentral:rRNA from 1 species